AUAUAACUAGGCGGAGGAAAAGAAACUAACUAGGAUUCCCUCAGUAACGGCGAGUGAAGCGGGAAAAGCUCAGACUGAAAAGCUUCGGCGUUGUAGUCUGGAGAAGUCAAGUCAGCAUUACGUCUCGGACAAAGUCUCUUGGAACAGAGCGCCGUGGAGGGUGACAGCCCCGUUCAUGUCUGAGACAAAGUGUGUACGACUGGCUUUCAAAGAGUCGAGUUGUUUGGGAUUGCAGCUCUAAGUGGGUGGUAAAUUCCAUCUAAAGCUAAAUAUAAAUGGGAGACCGAUAGCGAACAAGUACCGUGAGGGAAAGAUGCAAAGAACUUUGAAAAGAGAGUUAAAUAGUACCUGAAAUUGCUGAAAUGGAACCGAUGGGAAGCAGUGUCGGCUGGGCUGUACUUGUACAGUUUAGCAAGUCAGGCUUUCUUAGUUGUGUGGGAAAAACUUCUAGAUCUGUAUGAGCUAGUUUUGUUGUCAUGCGACUGAGAGACUCUGACGAAAUGCUUCUUAUCAA
rnacentral:rRNA from 1 species